rnacentral:rRNA from 1 species
AGAGUUUGAUCCUGGCUCAGGACGAACGCUGGCGGCGCGCUUCAUCCAUGCAAGUCGAACGAAAAGCCGGAGCUUGCUCCGGUGGAAAGUGGCGAACGGGUGAGUAACACGUGAGAAACCUACCCCGGAGAUGGGAAUAGCCCAGGGAAACCUGGAUUAAUGCCCAAUACCCUGCCUGCACCUCAUGGUGCGCUCAGGAAACGCUUUUGUGCUCCGGGAGGGUCUCGCGGCCUAUCAGCUUGUUGGUGAGGUAACGGCUCACCAAGGCAUCGACGGGUAGCUGGUCUGAGAGGACGAUCAGCCACACUGGGACUGAGACACGGCCCAGACUCCUACGGGAGGCAGCAGGAGGGAAUAUUGCGCAAUGGGCGAAAGCCUGACGCAGCGACGCCGCGUGGGGGAAGAAGGCCUUCGGGUCGUAAACCCCUUUCAGCAGGGACGAAAUUGACGGUACCUGCAGAAGAAGCGCCGGCCAACUACGUGCCAGCAGCCGCGGUAAUACGUAGGGCGCAAGCGUUGUCCGGAUUCAUUGGGCGUAAAGGGCUCGUAGGCGGUUUGGUAAGUCGGGUGUGAAAACUCAGGGCUCAACUCUGAGACGCCACUCGAUACUGCCAUGACUAGAGUCCGGUAGGGGAGUGUANAAUUCCUGGUGUANCGGUGAAAUG